rnacentral:lncRNA from 1 species
GCUGAUCGAUAUGAGUCUGAGGAAUCAAUACAGAUGUGGAUGACGGUGCUGUUUGCUGUUCAGAGACUGCAGAGCUGGGAAAAAGCAAGACACCAUCGAUCCCAAAGAGCCAGACGCCGUGGGGAUGUGCCACCACCUUAAGCAAAGUGCUGGUUUGCAAGCUCCUCUUGCUGCUGAGAUCCAGGAUGCUGUGAAUGACCAGGCAGCACCCCAGGGAAACCCCAUCUUUCCACCCAAAGAGCAAAGUCCCCAUCACUUGCCUGCUGCUGUCUGCAUGUAGCCAGCCAGGGUGCAGACUCGCCUCUCGCAGGCUCCGCCGGGCAGUAGGACAGCAACGAUGGCCAGCAGCGAGCUGAGGGCCAGCAGGACACAGCCACCCGCACACAGCACGGCGCUCGUCUGAAAGGACACACAGGGUUGUCAGCGAAGUGGUUCCCCACCACCAUCCCCACAACAGCUCCCCACGAAUUCUCCCUCUUGAAGUGAGAAGUGGGGCCCCAUCAUGGGCAGCUUCUCCCACCCCUUCCCUUCCACCUUCUGCUGCUUAAGUUCACUGGUAGCAUUCCCACCCCUGCCAAUGGGAUGGCACUGGCAGCGAGGUGGUCCCCAUACCAGAGGGGACAUGUGCCAGCCCAGCCAGGGGCAUGGGGUGACCCAUGAUGGGUGCCUCCUCCUCCAGCAUCCAGCUCAUGGCAGCCUUCAAACAGCGCGAGGGCACCUCGGUCCCAGCACUGCAGCAGCCACGUCAAGUCCUGUAAUUUCACAGCAUUUCAUGGCAAAUUCUACAGAAUGCUCCUGGCUUUGGGCCUUGGCUGGGAAUUAUUCCAAGUGCUCCUGCCCUGUACUGGAGUCGCACCUGUAG